rnacentral:rRNA from 1 species
AUUGAACGCUGGCGGCAGGCCUAACACAUGCAAGUCGAGCGGUAGAGAGGUGCUUGCACCUCUUGAGAGCGGCGGACGGGUGAGUAAUGCCUAGGAAUCUGCCUGGUAGUGGGGGAUAACGUUCGGAAACGGACGCUAAUACCGCAUACGUCCUACGGGAGAAAGCAGGGGACCUUCGGGCCUUGCGCCAUCAGAUGAGCCUAGGUCGGAUUAGCUAGUUGGUGAGGUAAUGGCUCACCAAGGCGACGAUCCGUAACUGGUCUGAGAGGAUGAUCAGUCACACUGGAACUGAGACACGGUCCAGACUCCUACGGGAGGCAGCAGUGGGGAAUAUUGGACAAUGGGCGAAAGCCUGAUCCAGCCAUGCCGCGUGUGUGAAGAAGGUCUUCGGAUUGUAAAGCACUUUAAGUUGGGAGGAAGGGUACUUACCUAAUACGUGAGUAUUUUGACGUUACCGACAGAAUAAGCACCGGCUAACUCUGUGCCAGCAGCCGCAGUAAUAC